UGUUUCAGGCAGGCUCCAUCUUGUUUCAAAGCCUUCGGUGUAAGCAGCGCUCGGUGUAAGGAAGGGGGAAUUUGCCCUGUGUUAGGAACAUGAGGAAACCCUCGCAGUCGCUGCAGCAUCUUUGCACUGAAUCUUGCUGCAGAAGCUAUAGGAGGACCUCUGGAGGAGCUGGGCUCUCUUGAUAAACACAGCCCUGGUCUGAAAUGUCUUGAAAAAGUAGCUUAAACAUGUAUUUUCUUGCUCUUUGUGCUCUGGUUAGCCGGUGGAAGCAGGACCUUGAGAUAGAAGAGCUGCCAGGGCUGGUUUGGACUCUGUAAGGGUCUGAGUGACGAUAAGCAAGCCCGUGCGAUCCGAGCAGUGGAAGCAAACAGACUAGAGCUGAGCUGCUGAUGCUCUUCAGAGGGAACACAUUUCCUUUGGCAAGGCCCUUGAAUCCAGAGCAACAAUAAUGGAAGAACACCUCACUCUUCUUUCAGGGGGGGAAAAGAAAACCCCAUCGUACUGUUGACUUUCUCCUAGCUAUCUGGGAGUAGCUUUAGUGCAGGGUUAGCAGGAAAGCUCUGGGGUCUUUGCUUGCUUUUUUCCAAGUGAGGGAGAAAGAAUCUGAUGUUUUGAGAAGGGCUGUCUGUACGCGAUGAAAUCCACUACAAUCCUGACCACGCUACCUUCCCCCUGCAAAAGGUAGUAGCUCAAAUGCUUCUUGUGCCCUGAGCACAUGAGUCUUCCUCCCUUUCUGCCUGUGUGAGAUUAGUCGGUGGCUCCGAAGAGAUCUUCUCUGCUACCAAGAGGUCUUAUAAUUGCUCCCAGGAGCUGGCCUGAGGGCUUUGCCCACACAGCCCCACCCUGGGCUCCCAGCAGCAGAUCAGCCACGGGGAAGCUGCUGGCAGGUUUUCCUUGGGAAGGUGACACAGAAAGCUCUGCUCGCGAACCUGGGUUUGACUUCACUGCCAACCCUUGCAGAAGAUGAGCUGGGACAGCGAGUGAGUCAUGGGGUUUGCAAGCAUUCAGAUUCAAGCAGCAAAGAAGGAACAGCUUGGCCCACCCAGCUUCACGGCUCUUUGUUCCAGCAACUGCUGGAGGCGAAGUCAUGGGAACGGCUGCUGCUGCUCCAUCUUCCCUCGCAGCCCUUCCUGCUGCUACUCUCAUCCCAUUGUCACCGUCCAGCCCCGCUCUGCAGGAGCUCUGCUGGGGACUCCCUGCAGCUGACCGGGGGUGAUGCAAGGGCGAGGAGGAGGCUCUGGCUGAUGAGAGCCAAGGAAUAAGGCUUUGUGUGCUUGUGUGCACACGUGCACCUGCGUGCGAGGGACAAAUUACACCCCUCUGCGUGCAGCCCUGGAUCCAAGAAACCUCCCAUGUAGCUUCCCACUCCUUGGCACACAUCUUCCCCACGUUUUUCUCACCACCAUCGUUCUCCUCCUUCCUUGCACUGAGAUCUUCGGUAAACUUUAUUAUUAUUGAUCCCACUUUUCUACUGUCUUUCAGCUGUUUUCCUGCUCCAGCUUUCUUUCUUACGGUGCUCCCUUCCUGAAUUAUUUUCACUUUGUCCUCAGGUUCUGCCGUAAUUGACUCUGGCCUCUUUGCAAGUGGCAGUUAGCGGCCCUGUUACACACUCAGGCUUCUGCUGGUGUUGAGUAUCGUGCCUUUGACCAAGCUGGUUGAAUGGGGAGGUUAAAAGUGUUAUGUGAGCACAACAGCACAAGUCAAAACUUCUGCUAAGCGUUUUGCCCAAGACAUACAUAAACUGCUCGUUCCUAUUGCAACUGCGUUUCUUUCGUGGCUUCCAGGCAUAUGAAGUCUUACUUCCUCCCUGUCUUGCUGGCUCCCUGAAAAUCUAUGUGAAGGAUGCACAAGAAUGGUUGAGAAAUACUCUUGCCAUCCAGCUGAAGUAAAAGGAAAUGCUGAAUCCUUAGCAAGUAUCUUUUCUGAAAGUAAUUAUUAGGAUAAAUACCUUCAAAUAAGGAUAAUCGGUAUUUUAAACAGCAUCCAAAUGUUUCCAAAUAUUUGUUUUAUUCCUUUGGUACUCUGAUGUCAUAUGCCUGCUGAAUCUUCACUAAAGUCUUCUAGGAAAAGGAUAGAGAAAAAUGCAGCUUCCAAGGGAAAGAAAUAAGCAAGAGAAUAACCUAAUCAGCCUGUCUUCAUAUAUAACAAGAGAACAUAAAUUCUUUUAUUACUUUCUCACGAAUCAUCUUUUUAACAACAGCCAUCUUCUUCUCCAGUGCUGGCUGCAUUUGAGUCACAGCUAAAGCACAGCAUUAUAUCACAUGGUAAAUGCUGCAUUUCAUUCAAAAACACUUAAACGUAACAUACAAUAAAGAGCAGCAGCAUAAGCUUUACUGUGGCUUCCCUAAAGGUAACCUGCCUCUACUCGCAACACAGGUAACUGAACAGAUACUUUCUGUGCCCACUAAAUACCUGCUGCUUAAAAGACCAGAAGCAGAAAAAGAAAAAGGGUUAGCAAAGAGUAUUUUUCAGUAGCAAUAGCUUUUAGAGACUGACUAUCCAGAGUUCCUUCAGGUGCGGUAGUUAAAAAAAAAAAAUAGCAAUUCUAUAAAAAAAGAGGUUGGAAAUAAUAAAUCAGUGACAGAUAUGGGGGGAAAAAAUAUCAUGGUUACUUUUAGUGUUUUGUCCCCUUUCGUGCACUCAGAAUUGUCCCAAGCAGGCAGCACUCUUGCCCUUGUUUGUUUGUAGAAUCCCUGUUCCCGUACUGGAUCUCUGUCAGAUGCAGUAUUAUUUGUCUCUGAUAUCACAAGUAAAUUUAAUUAUAAAAAAAAAAAAAAAGGCCUUUUCAUGGCACAAGGAGGAGAUGUUGUAAUAAUCAAAAUGUUGUGGAAUUGACCCCACAUCUCCCUCGGGGCACGCUCGCUAUGAGGUUUUACACCUUAUGAGGGUUGCACGCAGGGUCCCAGCCUGCUUCUGCAGAAGCCAAAGGGAGCGUGUCCACGUACUGCAGUGAGCACAUUCCUCUGUGCUUUGGUCGUUCACAUCACUCACCCCCACAGAGGAAAGCUCUUCCAGAAGUCCUCACCCCGAAGCAGCCCAAGCUUCCCCAGCACCUGGCAAUGCACCACAGCGGUAGUGUAAUACUGACAUCCAGUGGAUGGAAAAAUGCAGUUUCAUUAGCCAACUCGGUCCCAUUUUUGGGGUAAGUGUGGUGAUUGGGUAAAUGUGAAAAAAAUAGCAAGAACUGUUUUGUUGAUAUGUGUUAGGACUUUACGACAGACAAAACCUAGCCCAGGAGCUGCGAUUCCCCUAAAUCUACAGGCGAGACUAGGUGAGAUUUUCUGAGUCAACCAUUAUCAUUUUAGACAAACCAAAAAAAUCUGCUUGCUUUCUACAGUUCAACUUCAUUCUUCAAUUUGUUCUACAGGGUCAAUGCAAUGUGGUACCUUUUCCUCCACUGAAAUGAAAGUUUCUGGUUCCCUAGGUUUGUGCAAAAUAAAUCACGUCACUUCACCUUGCUUUCCACGUCCCGCUGUGCAUGCUACAAAGCCCUGAGCAAAACAUAUGAAAGAAAAAAAAAAAAAAAACAACUGCAAAAGAACACCUAUAACGGGAAAAGGAAUCUAAACAGUAAAACGUUAUUUCAGUUAUGGCAAAAACAAGGUCAGUAUCUUGGACAUCUCCUCCUCUCCAACACCUGCAACCUGUAGCCUCGGUGUAUUAGUGGCUACUGCUCACACCAAAAAAAUAGGUGUGGAAACAGAAGAUACGGACAGUUCCUGCUCUGUGAAUAAACACUGGGGAACAGACAAGAUCUGCACCCCCAAUUUAUGCCAGUAUUUCAUAUUGAUUUAUAUAGUGGCUUU